ACGUACCGGCGCCACUCGCGGAGGAGGAAGCCCUCGUCGGCCCCCAUCUGGGCGGGGUCGGGGAGGACGGGGCCGGAGUCGGUGAAGAGGCCGUCAUCCUCCGCGUCGUGGUGCAUGCCGUUGCCGUUGGAGUCGGGCAUGCCGAAGGGGUGCGCGGCGGCGGAGUCGUGGCGGAAGGCGUAGGGGUCGGGGGAGGCCGGGAAGGAGGAGUCGUCGGCGCCCCCGGAGACGUGGACGUCGGCCGCGGCGGGGGCGGGGGAGUCGGCGAAGCUGAGGAAGGGGUCGUCGUGGAAGGGCGCGGCCGCCGGCGAGGAGGUCGGCGAGUCGAAGGCGGUCGCCAUGGACGGACGAUGGGGUCGGGAUCUGGAGGUCGGGCGGAGGGGAGGGUGGUGAUCUGUGAUGUCGCGUGGGGAAGUGGAAUGAUGGUGGCGAUGCGGGUGGUAUAUGGUGGUGGGGGGACGGGAAGGGGGAAGGUACACCGGGUGGGUCGUUG
rnacentral:lncRNA from 1 species